UAGGUGGAUAAAAUGGUUGAAAAAUGUUCAAUUUUUACUUAAUUCAGGAAAGGACAUAUGCAAUGUUAACACUGUUACCUAGAAACAUUCAGAGUUUUCGAAGACAAUUCAUCAUACAUUUCAGAGGUACUAAACACUCCUGAGAGGAAAGCGCAGAGUUUCAGUUAUGACUUAAGACUUCUAGAACACUGGUUCAAAUGGAGUCCAAAAUGUUAGGGGAGGUUCUAGAACACUGGUUCAAAUGGAGUCCAAACUGUUAGGGGAGGUUCUAGAACACUGGUUCAAAUGGAGUCCAAACUGUUAGGGGAGGUUCUAGAACACUGGUUCAAAUGGAGUCCAAACUGUUAGGGGAGGUUCUAGAACACUGGUUCAAAUGGAGUCCAAACUGUUAGGGGAGGUUCUAGAACACUGGUUCAAAUGGAGUCCAAACUGUUAGGGGAGGUUCUAGAACACUGGUUCAAAUGGAGUCCAAACUGUUAGGGGAGGUUCUAGAACACUGGUUCAAAUGGAGUCCAAACUGUUAGGGGAGGUUCUAGAACACUGGUUCAAAUGGAGUCCAAACUGUUAGGGGAGGUUCUAGAACACUGGUUCAAAUGGAGUCCAAACUGUUAGGGGAGGUUCUAGAACACUGGUUCAAAUGGAGUCCAAACUGUUAGGGGAGGUUCUAGAACACUGGUUCAAAUGGAGUCCAAACUGUUAGGGGAGGUGUGUGUGUGUUUGUCAAACAGCUUCAAAUCAACGCCUUGUUUGGACAUUACAGACUAGUGGAUAAUCGAACAGUGACAUGUUGUUGUUGUUGCUGUGGCCACAUUUCAGUAUCAAGAGUGUUGUAUUUAUUAGUGCACACAAUAACAAAAAUUGUUUGCAACGACAAAGCAAUUGCUUUUCUUAAAAUCGGGCAAGUUCAGGGGGUGUAUUCAUUAUGACGAAUUAUGUUUCAAAACGUUUUGCAACAGAAACAGUUUACUCCAAACGGGAAAACGCUUUGCAACGGAGAAAAAAAAAAAAAAA